GACGAACGCUGGCGGCGUGCUUAACACAUGCAAGUCGAGCGGUAAGGCCCUUUCGGGGGUACACGAGCGGCGAACGGGUGAGUAACACGUGGGUGACCUGCCCUCAGCUCUGGGGUAAGCCUGGGAAACUGGGUCUAAUACUGGAUAUGACUCCACGGUGCAUGUCGUGGGGUGGAAAGCCUUGUGCGGCUGAGGAUGGGCCCGCGGCCUAUCAGCUUGUUGGUGGGGUGAUGGCCUACCAAGGCGACGACGGGUAGCCGGCCUGAGAGGGCGACCGGCCACACUGGGACUGAGACACGGCCCAGACUCCUACGGGAGGCAGCAGUGGGGAAUCUUGCGCAAUGGGCGAAAGCCUGACGCAGCGACGCCGCGUGAGGGAUGACGGCCUGGUGUAACU
rnacentral:rRNA from 1 species